GACGAACGCUGGCGGCGUGCUUAACACAUGCAAGUCGAACGGAAAGGCCCUGCUUUUGUGGGGUGCUCGAGUGGCGAACGGGUGAGUAACACGUGAGUAACCUGCCCUUGACUUUGGGAUAACUUCAGGAAACUGGGGCUAAUACCGGAUAGGAGCUCCUGCUGCAUGGUGGGGGUUGGAAAGUUUCGGCGGUUGGGGAUGGACUCGCGGCUUAUCAGCUUGUUGGUGGGGUAGUGGCUUACCAAGGCUUUGACGGGUAGCCGGCCUGAGAGGGUGACCGGCCACAAUGGGACUGAGGUACGGCCCAGACUCGUACGGGAGGCAGCAGUGGGGAAUAUUGCACAAUGGGCGGACGCCUGAUGCAGCAACGCCGCGUGCGGGAUGACGGCCUUCGGGUUGUAAACCGCUUCCGCCUGUGACGAAGCGUGAGUGACGGUAACGGGUAAAGAAGCACCGGCUAACUACGUG
rnacentral:rRNA from 1 species